CUAAUAGUUACCUUUGCAGUAAAGAGGAGACUAUCACCAUGGCGACAUUAACCAUCAUUCUGCUUGUCAGCACAGCUUUUGCUCUGGGAGAUGCUACGAUACGACCCAUGACCCCCUGUGAGCGUGCUAGAUAUGCUGCGACACAUGGCCCAAUUGGAGCCUACAUCCCCACGUGCGACGACGCUGGACGAUACACCCUAAGCAAUGUUCGGG